rnacentral:sRNA from 1 species
GCUGGGCAUGGUGGCGCAUGCCUGUAGUCCCAGCUACUCAGGAGGCUGAGACAGGGGAAUUGCUUGAACCCGGGAGGUGGAGGUUGCAGUGAGCCGAGAUCGCGCCACUGUACUCCAGCCUGGGUGACAGAGCAAGACUCCAUCUCAA